rnacentral:rRNA from 1 species
UUACCCUACGGGGGCAGCAGCAGGGAAUCCUCCACAAUGGACGAAAGUCUGAUGGAGCAACGCCGCGUGAGCGAAGAAGGGUUUCGGCUCGUAAAGCUCUGUUGGUAGUGAAGAAAGAUAGAGGUAGUAACUGGCCUUUAUUUGACGGUAAUUACUUAGAAAGUCACGGCUAACUACGUGCCAGCAGCCGCGGUAAUACGUAGGUGGCAAGCGUUGUCCGGAUUUAUUUGGCGUAAAGCGAGUGCAGGCGGGUUCAU